rnacentral:rRNA from 1 species
CACGGGUAGGGCCAAGCGUUGUCCGGAUUUAUUGGGCGUAAAGGAGCUCGUAGGCGGUUGGGUAAGUCGGGUGUGAAAACUCCAAGCUCAACUUGGAGACGCCACCCGAUACUGCUCUGACUUGAGUUCGGUGAGGGAGGUGGGUAAGUCCUGGUGUAGCGGUGAAAUGCGCAGAUAUCAGGAGGAACACCGAGUGGCGAAGGCGGUCUCUGGGCCGACUACUGACGCUGAGAAGCGAAAGCUGGG